AACGUAGGAGGCAAGCGUUAUCCGGAGUAACUGGGCGUAAAGAGCGUGUAGGCGGCCCGAUAAGUCCGCUGUGAAAGUCCAGGGCUCAACCCUGGAAUGCCAGUGGAAACUGUCGGGCUGGAGUCCGGAAGAGGCGAGUGGAAUUCCUGGUGUAGCGGUGAAAUGCGCAGAUAUCAGGAGGAACACCGGUGGCGAAGGCGGGUCUCUGGGCCGUAACUGACGCUGAGGAGCGAAAGCGUGGGGAGCGAACAGG
rnacentral:rRNA from 1 species